rnacentral:rRNA from 1 species
AUUGAACGCUGGCGGCAUGCCUUACACAUGCAAGUCGAACGGCAGCACGGGUGCUUGCACCCGGUGGCGAGUGGCGAACGGGUGAGUAAUAUAUCGGAACGUACCUUAUCGUGGGGGAUAACGCAGCGAAAGCUGUGCUAAUACCGCAUAAGCCCUAAGGGGGAAAGCAGGGGACCGUAAGGCCUUGCGCGAUUAGAGCGGCCGAUACCUGAUUAGCUAGUUGGUGAGGUAAAGGCUCACCAAGGCAAUGAUCAGUAGCUGGUCUGAGAGGACGAUCAGCCACGCUGGGACUGAGACACGGCCCAGACUCCUACGGGAGGCAGCAGUGGGGAAUUUUGGACAAUGGGGGCAACCCUGAUCCAGCAAUGCCGCGUGAGUGAAGAAGGCCUUCGGGUUGUAAAGCUCUUUUGUCAGGGAAGAAACAGCAGCUCUAAUACAGUAUGCGAAUGACGGUACCUGAAGAAUAAGCACCGGCUAACUACGUGCCAGCCGCCGCCGUAA